GAAGAGGCAAAAGAAAAUGAUGAAGAAGCAAAAGAAAAUGAUAAAGAAGCAAAACAAAAUGUAGAUUGUGGAAAAAUGAAUAAGGACCAUAAUAACAUAAAAUUAAAUUUAAAGAAACUAAAUUUAAGUAAAGACUACUGCCCUAUUAUUUAUGGUAAUCAUUUUGUAUAUAAUGAUUUUUUAGAUAAUUGUGAAUUUUACACAUAUAUAUUAAAAAGGAAAGAAAAAAUAGCUUUACCUGAAGAGUUAAUAAAAUUGUUACCACAAAUAUGUGGAGAAUACAACAUCGAUAGUUAUAAUUUUAUAAAAAAUAAAUAUUAUUCUAUUUUUAAAAAUGAAUUAAAUAAAAGUUAUAAAGAUAUAAAACAUAAAAUUAAUCAUAUUAACCACAUGAGGCAUCAGUUAUUUUUGAAUAAAUUAAAAAAAAAUGAAAAAUUAAAUAAAACAACAAAACCGUUUUUAACAUAUUCUAGUUAUCAAAACAAACUGAAUACAUUGAUAAAAAAAAAAACAGAUGAAGAUCAUUUAUUUUGGACUUCCAUAUUUAAUCCACAAUUUUAUUUUCAAAUUAAUAAUACUAAUUUAGUAUACCAUUUUGAAUAUUUUAUUUUUUUAACCAAAUUUCAGAACUAUACAAUUGACAAUGUAAGUAAGCUAUAUAUAAAAUUUAAUCUUCCAAAUACUUAUAGAAGAAUAUAUAACAAUCACGAUUAUAAUAAAAUAACAUUAUCAACACCAUCAUCAUCAAUAUAUAUGAAUAAAAAUUAUUUAAAAAAAUAUUUGUAUGUAAAUAAUGAGAGUGUAAAAAAACCACCACUUUUACCAACCCCUUCUAAACAUAGUUAUAAAAAUAAUUAUCUAAUAAAAAGUGGUCAUACAAUAAUGCCUAAAAGUAGAUAUAUUAAUAUUAAUACACAUGCCACACAUACUUACAAUCGCAACCAUCACCAUCACCAUUAUAAUAAUAAUAAUAAUAAUAAUAAUAAUCAUCAUCGUAAUCAUAGUAACAGUGGUACUAAAACAAACAUAACACAUAAUUAUAAUAAUAAUAAUAAUAAUAGUAGUAGUAGUAAUAGUAUUUAUAUGAAUAAACGGAACUAUUACAUAAAUAAAAGUGAAAAUAAUGUAUAUAAACAACAGCAAUCAUCUUCUCAUAAUACAAAUGUAAAUUAUAACCAUAAAAAUAAUAAUGGUAAUGAUGAUGACACUAGUAAUAAAUUAUAUAAUACAGGUAAAACUAGAUCAAACAUAAACACUAAAUAUUAUAAGACGAUUGAUAAUAAACGAAGAGACAGAAGUACAAAUGGAUAUACAACUAAUUGUUCUUAUAAUCAGAUGAAUAGUCGUUCAUCAUAUACUCGUACGUAUAUUCGUACACAUGGUCAUACAUAUAAUAAGGCGGAUGACUACACAAGCAACCGAACACAUAUACAUAACGACAUUCGUAAUGACAAUCAUAAUGACAAUCAUAAUGACAAUCGUAAUGACAAUCGUAAUGACAAUAACAUGUACGUACAACAUGCUAAGAAUACGCAGUACACAAAACCAUCACAACCAAAUUUCGUUUAUAACAAGUCCAAUCGGAAUAAUGUGUAUAUGUCAAAUGGUAUGAAACAUGAUGAAAAACAACACAUGAAGCGAAAAAGAGAAAAUGUAUAUGAAUCUAGGGAAAUACGAACAGGUGGUGAAUCGGUAAAUACUGUUAAUGCACAUAACAUACAUAACGUACAUAACUUUAAUAAUCAUGAUAAUAAUAAUAAUAAUAAUAAACAUAAUGGAUAUAAUACAAGUAGAAGAUAUGACAAGCGGAUAAGACGUGAUGAUCGUUACGAUAUAAAAGUAAGGGUAAAUGAAAGACGAAGUAAUGAUAAGAAUACAAGAUAUAAUAGUGAAAUGCAAGACCCAUAUGCAUCUACAAAAGACACAUAUAAACCUUUUAAUUCUAAUAAUUUUAUGAACAAUUCAGAAAAAAGUUCAGGAAAUAGUAGUAUGCCACCACCAC
ensembl:lncRNA